rnacentral:rRNA from 1 species
UACGGGGGGAGCAAGCGUUGUUCGGAUUUACUGGGCGUAAAGGGCGGGUAGGCGGCCACCGCAAGUCAGUUGUGAAAUCUCUGGGCUUAACCCAGAAAGGUCAACUGAUACUGCGGGGCUAGAGUGCAGAAGGGGCAACUGGAAUUCGUCGGUGGUAGCGGUGAAAUGCGUAGAUAUCGAGAGGAACACCUGCGGCGAAGGCGGAUCGUCCUG